GGCCUUCUGGUGUUUACCACAGGUGGUAUUCUUACACUGAAUCAAGCAAGGGGCAGAGUAAACUUACCCCAUAUACACCUUGGCCCAGGCUCUGUGCCUGGUCUGUAGUGAACGAAGAGACAUGA
ensembl:snoRNA